AACGAACGCUGGCGGCAUGCCUAACACAUGCAAGUCGAACGAGAUCCUUCGGGGUCUAGUGGCGCACGGGUGCGUAACGCGUGGGAAUCUGCCCUUAGGUUCGGAAUAACAGUUAGAAAUGACUGCUAAUACCGGAUGAUGACGUUAAGUCCAAAGAUUUAUCGCCUGAGGAUGAGCCCGCGUAGGAUUAGCUAGUUGGUGUGGUAAAGGCGCACCAAGGCGACGAUCCUUAGCUGGUCUGAGAGGAUGAUCAGCCACACUGGGACUGAGACACGGCCCAGACUCCUACGGGAGGCAGCAGUGGGGAAUAUUGGACAAUGGGCGCAAGCAUGAUCCAGCAAUGCCGCGUGAGUGAUGAAGGCCUUAGGGUUGUAAAGCUCUUUUACCCGGGAUGAUAAUGACAGUACCGGGAGAAUAAGCCCCGGCUAACUCCGUG
rnacentral:rRNA from 1 species